GCUUGUCUCAAAGAUUAAGCCAUGCAUGUCUAAGUGUAAAUAAGUCUAUACUGUGAAACUGCGAAUGGCUCAUUAAAUCAGUUAUCGUUUAUUUGAUGAUCUCUUACUACUUGGAUAACCGUAGUAAUUCUAGAGCUAAUACAUGCACAAAAUCCCGACUUACGAAGGGAUGUAUUUAUUAGAUACAAAACCAAUGCGGAGCAAUCCGGUUUGUGGUGAUUCAUAAUAACUUUGCGAAUCGCAUGGCCUUGCGCCGGCGAUGAAUCAUUCAAAUUUCUGCCCUAUCAACUUUCGAUGGUAAGGUAUUGGCCUACCAUGGUUACAACGGGUAACGGGGAAUUAGGGUUCGGUUCCGGAGAGGGCGCCUGAGAAAUGGCGACCACAUCCAAGGAAGGCAGCAGG
rnacentral:rRNA from 1 species